UAAUCUAACCCCAUUGUGCCACUUUGGCACAGGAAAAAAGUGAGAAAGCACAUAGAUCUUCCUAGUUGAUUCCCUUACUGUCAUUAAUAAGGUUUAUAUCACUCUGGCAAUGCAGAGGCCUUAAAACUUUUACAGAUUUUAUGCUCCUGGGGGAAUUGACUGAGAAUGGGAACAGUUAACUAACAAUAGGAACAUUAACAAUAUUGGCAGUGUAG